UUUUUGUUUUUGCUGUUGUUGUCGUCAUGCGGAUUUUUCUUUUUUUCCAGAUUAUCUUUUGUAAAACUAGUUUCAGCUACAUGGAAACACGAACAACUUGACAUUAUUAUUAAUUGUACAAUGUUUCCCUACAACAGCAACAGUAUACUUAUUAUUUUUUUCAAGUGUCUAAAGUUUUUGACCUAAAAAAAAAAAAAAUGGGACUCGUGCCGUUUUUUUCAAAAAAAAAUAAACUCAGUUUGAGAAUUGAAACUCUUCUAAAGAGAGCCUGUACAUUGGGCUCCCUGUGCUGGUCAUCCUGCAUCUUGUUGUUUGGGAUGUCUUCAUAUGCAAAACUCCUUUUGUGUCAAACCUAGUGUGUCUAUGAUUAUAACCCGCUGUUAAAACAUUAACAUACUAAUUCUUCUCCUCUAUUUUCAAAAGUGUAAGUCAGCUUUGCUUAAAUGUAAAACAGUUAUUUUUAAAUCUAGAUGUUAGAAAUCAAUGUGUAUGAUGUAUUGUAUUUAGACCAUACCCGUGACCGUUUCUUUUUACUAGCUCAAACACUAACAAUUUAAGACUUACAAAGCAUGGAUUUUAUAUUCUCUAGGCUUGACAUAUCUCAGUAGGGUGACAGAUUUAAAAUGUAUGGUGCCAUUUGGAGCCUUUUACUUGAGAUUUCUUUCAAAUUUCUCUUGAAAACAUUUUGAAAAUGCCUGAUUCAAGAUGGAGAGGAGUCCCCUUGUCAUAUGGUUUCAAAUGUUAUUGAUUUCUUUCUCUCAGUAGACUGUUCAACUAGCAAAUUUCCCCAUCUGGUUUAUAGUUACCUAUGCUAGCAUCUCACUUGACAAGUGAAUAAAAUAUUCCAAC
rnacentral:lncRNA from 1 species